rnacentral:rRNA from 1 species
GACGAACGCUGGCGGCGUGCUUAACACAUGCAAGUCGAACGGUAAGGCCCCAGCUUGCUGGGGUACACGAGUGGCGAACGGGUGAGUAACACGUGGGUGACCUGCCCCGCACUUCGGGAUAAGCCUGGGAAACUGGGUCUAAUACCGGAUAGGACCGCACCGUGAGGGUGUGGCGGAAAGUUUUUCGGUGUGGGAUGGGUCCGCGGCCUAUCAGCUUGUUGGUGGGGUAAUGGCAUACCAAGGCGGCGACGGGUAGCCGGCCUGGGAGGGUGGACGGCCACAUUGGGACUGAGACACGGCCCAGACUCCUACGGGAGGCAGCAGUGGGGAAUAUUGCACAAUGGGCGGAAGCCUGAUGCAGCGACGCCGCGUGGGGGAUGACGGCCUUCGGGUUGUAAACUCCUUUCACCAUCGACGAAGGUUUUCUGACGGUAGAUGGAGAAGAAGCACCGGCUAACUACGUG